AUUGAACGCUGGCGGAAUGCUUUACACAUGCAAGUCGAACGGCAGCACGGGAGCUUGCUCCUGGUGGCGAGUGGCGAACGGGUGAGUAAUGCAUCGGAACGUGCCCAUUUGUGGGGGAUAACUAGUCGAAAGACUAGCUAAUACCGCAUAAGCUCGAAAGAGGAAAGCGGGGGAUCGUAAGACCUCGCGCAGAUGGAGCGGCCGAUGUCCGACUAGCUAGUUGGUGAGGUAAAGGCUCACCAAGGCGACGAUCGGUAGCUGGUCUGAGAGGACGACCAGCCACACUGGGACUGAGACACGGCCCAGACUCCUACGGGAGGCAGCAGUGGGGAAUUUUGGACAAUGGGGGCAACCCUGAUCCAGCCAUUCCGCGUGUGGGAAGAAGGCCUUCGGGUUGUAAACCACUUUCGGACGGGAAGAAAUCGACGUGACGAAUAAUCGUGUCGGAUGACGGUACCGUAAGAAGAAGCACCGGCUAACUACGUGCCAGCCGCCGCCGUAA
rnacentral:rRNA from 1 species